rnacentral:lncRNA from 1 species
GGACGUGGCCGAGGGCGCCAUCACCGUUGAACUCACGAGUCAGCCGGUGAGAGGCUUCGACGAAUACAUGGCGUCUCUGACCCCGACCAACAACAAACGAAAUCCGUGGUUCAAGGAAUAUUGGGAGACGUUCUUUGGGUGCAAACUAGG